rnacentral:tRNA from 1 species
GGUUCUCAAGCUCAUAUGGUAUGAGCACUCGACUCAUAAUCGAAAGGUACGUAGGUUCGAAUCCUCGGGGAGCCACCA